rnacentral:rRNA from 1 species
UUGAACGCUGGCGGCAUGCCUUACACAUGCAAGUCGAACGGUAACAGGUUAAGCUGACGAGUGGCGAACGGGUGAGUAAUACAUCGGAACGUGCCCAGUAGUGGGGGAUAGCCCGGCGAAAGCCGGAUUAAUACCGCAUACGACCUAAGGGUGAAAGGGGGGGAUCGCAAGACCUCUCGCUAUUGGAGCGGCCGAUGUCAGAUUAGCUAGUUGGUGGGGUAAAAGCUCACCAAGGCGACGAUCUGUAGCUGGUCUGAGAGGACGACCAGCCACACUGGGACUGAGACACGGCCCAGACUCCUACGGGAGGCAGCAGUGGGGAAUUUUGGACAAUGGGCGCAAGCCUGAUCCAGCCAUGCCGCGUGCGGGAAGAAGGCCUUCGGGUUGUAAACCGCUUUUGCCAGGGAAGAAAUCCUUUGGGUUAAUACCUCGGGGGGAUGACGGUACCUGAAGAAUAAGCACCGGCUAACUACGUG